rnacentral:tmRNA from 2 species
GGGGAUGACAUGGUUUCGACGGGUGGUAUUCGCGCUGCAAGUUGCGUGUCGAGCUCCUCAGUCCAGCUCGUUAAUAUGACUGGGAACUGGUAAAUGCGAACGAUUACUCGUACGCGAUGGCGGCGUAAGCCCCAUCUGUCCAAUGCAUUGCUCGUUCAUCGGCAUGCAUUAGGGCACCGACUCAGAUGAACCCGCUGCGGUCCGUACCGGCUGAACAGGCCGCAGUCAAAACAAUCAGCCUUUGCUUGCAUCCGGCUCUUGUCGGGCGGCUCUUGAUGCAGGUGAGCACGAAAGACCGACUACACACGUAGACGCUUGUCGGUACGGCCAUUCGGACGCGGGUUCGACUCCCGCCAUCUCCACCA